CUCGGGUCUUGUACACACCGCCCGUCACACCAUGGGAGUUGGUAAUGCCCAAAGUCGGUACGGUUAACUUAAUUGAAACCGCCGCCUAAGGUAGGAUCGAUGACUGGGGUG
rnacentral:rRNA from 1 species